rnacentral:rRNA from 1 species
GACGAACCGUGCGAACGUUAUUCGGAAUCACUGGGCUUAAAGCGCGUGUAGGCGGGCCGGCACGUCGGUCGCUGAAAUCCCCCGGCUCAACCGGGGAAGGGCGCCGAUACGACCGGCCGUCGAGGGGCGUAGGGGGACCUGGAACUCCGGUGGAGCGGUGAAAUGCGUUGAGAUCGGAAGGAACGCCCGUGGCGAAAGCGAGGUCCUGGACGUU